UACGGGGGGGCAAGCGUUGUUCGGAAUUACUGGGCGUAAAGGGCGCGUAGACGGUUAUGUAAGUCGGGUGUGAAAGCCCCGGGCUCAACCUGGGAAUGCCAUUCGAGACUGCAUAGCUAGGGUGCGGAAGAGGGAAGCGGAAUUUCCGGUGUAGCGGUGAAAUGCGCAGAUAUCGGGAGGAACACCUAUGGCGAAGGCAGCUCGCUGGGACGUUACUGACGCUGAGACGCGAAAGCGUGGGGAGCAAACAGG
rnacentral:rRNA from 1 species